CAUGAUGAUAGUUUUAAACAGUAAAGAUAAUGAUUAGAAGGUUAGUGGAAAUUGAAGUAUUCUACACUUAUUCUCAAACUUUAAAUGUUUAAGAUAAAGCGCAUUACCGAAAGGAAUGUGUUUUCGAGAAUAGCGAACUUUUAGUGGGCCUUGUUUGGUAAGCAGACUGGGCGAUGUAGGAUGAACUAAACGUCAAGUUAAAAUGUCAGAAUAGGUAUACGCAUAAAGAAACCAUAAAAGGUGUUGUUCAAUAUAGACAGCAUGACGGUGAUCAUGGAAGUAGAGAUCCGCUAAGAAGUGUGUAACAACUUACAUGUCGAAUUGAAUAGCCCUGAAAAUGGAUGACGCUAAGUAUAGGAAUAUUUAGACUUGACCUUCUGUGUUGUAGAAGUAUGCCACACAGAAGAGUAGAAGGAUAUGUUUUUGAUGGCGAAGCAUCUCUGUGAGGGGGUGUGGAAUUGAAAAUAGUGCAGAUCUUGGUAAUAGUAGCAAAUAUUUAAUUGAGAAAAUUAAAGAUUGAAGAAGAAAAUGGUUCCUUAAGAAGUGUAAUACGUUAAGGGUGAGCGAUUUUAAGGAGAAAAUUGAGAUAGAUUGAAAUGCGUACAAUUCAUCUGAUGGAGUGUAUGUGAAUCCAAAAAA
rnacentral:rRNA from 1 species